rnacentral:rRNA from 1 species
AGUGAACGCUGGCGGUAGGCCUAACACAUGCAAGUCGAACGGCAGCACAGUAAGAGCUUGCUCUUACGGGUGGCGAGUGGCGGACGGGUGAGGAAUACAUCGGAAUCUACUUUUUCGUGGGGGAUAACGUAGGGAAACUUACGCUAAUACCGCAUACGACCUACGGGUGAAAGCAGGGGAUCUUCGGACCUUGCGCGAUUGAAUGAGCCGAUGUCGGAUUAGCUAGUUGGCGGGGUAAAGGCCCACCAAGGCGACGAUCCGUAGCUGGUCUGAGAGGAUGGUCAGCCACACUGGAACUGAGACACGGUCCAGACUCCUACGGGAGGCAGCAGUUGGGAAUAUUGGACAAAAGGCGCAAGCCUGAUCCAGCCAUACCGCGUGGGUGAAGAAGGCCUUCGGGUUGUAAAGCCCUUUUGUUGGGAAAGAAAAGCAGCAGGUUAAUACCCCGCUGUUCUGACGGUACCCAAAGAAUAAGCACCGGCUAACUUCGUG